rnacentral:tRNA from 1 species
CGGGCAGUAGCUCAGUUGUAGAGCUCUCGCUUCUGCGGGAAGACCUGGGUUCGAUUCCCGGUUGCUUAC